rnacentral:rRNA from 1 species
AGAGUUUGAUCCUGGCUCAGAACGAACGCUGGCGGCGUGGAUAAGACAUGCAAGUCGAACGGGACUUUAUUUGUAGCAAUACAAGUAAAGUUCAGUGGCGCAAGGGUGCGUAACACGUGGGCAACCUGCCCGGAAAUGUGGGAUAGCUCGCCGAAAGGCGAAUUAAUACCGCAUGUGGCUACCAAGGUCAUCCUUGGGACGCUAAAGAUGGAGCAAUCUAUCGUUUCCGGAUGGGCCCGCGGCCUAUCAGCUAGUUGGUGAGGUAACGGCUCACCAAGGCUAUGACGGGUAGCUGGUCUGAGAGGACGACCAGCCACACUGGAACUGAGACACGGUCCAGACACCUACGGGUGGCAGCAGUCGAGAAUUUUUCUCAAUGGGGGAAACCCUGAAGGAGCGACGCCGCGUGAAGGAUGAAGGUCUUCGGAUCGUAAACUUCUGUCAUUAGAGAACAAAGCCCACCGAUUAACUGUCGGGGGGUCUGAUAGUAUCUGAAGAGGAAGGGACGGCUAACUCUGUGCCAGCAGCCGCGGUAAUACAGAGGUCCCAAGCGUUGUUCGGAUUUAUUGGGCGUAAAGGGUGCGUAGGCGGUCGCCUAAGUCAGGUGUGAAAUCUCGGGGCUCAACCUCGAAACUGCACUUGAUACUGGGUGGCUAGAGUACUGGAGAGGAGACUGGA